GUUCCUGUAGUUAAAUUUCGAUAACAGCGGCUUUUCAGGCCGCGGACCCUGGAGAG
rnacentral:tRNA from 1 species